CCUAGCCACAGUGUUACCUCUUCUCUUUCAGUCCAGUUGUAGAAUUUCCACUCGGCCAGCCUUCCUGUUGUUCUGGAUGAUGUCUGUUUUGUCUUUUAAUUGUAGUUUUGAAGUGGUUGUGUGAGGCAGCAAUUUCAGUUGUUUACCUAUGCUGCCAUCAUGGAUCCUU